ACAUGCUUACAUCAUAGAGUUAAUGCAUUGGAUCUCAUUAUAACUUUGUAGUUAAGCAUGCUCAGGAUAGAGUAGUACUGGGAUGGGUGACCGCACGAGAAGUCUUAUAAUUUUACAUGCC
rnacentral:rRNA from 1 species